rnacentral:rRNA from 1 species
AUUGAACGCUGGCGGCAUGCCUUACACAUGCAAGUCGAACGGCAGCAUGGAAGAGCUUGCUCUUCUGAUGGCGAGUGGCGAACGGGUGAGUAAAGCAUCGGAACGUACCGUGUAAUGGGGGAUAACGUAGCGAAAGUUACGCUAAUACCGCAUACGACCUGAGGGUGAAAGCAGGGGAUCGCAAGACCUUGCGGUAUACGAGCGGCCGAUGUCAGAUUAGCUAGUUGGUAGGGUAAAGGCCUACCAAGGCGACGAUCUGUAGCGGGUCUGAGAGGAUGAUCCGCCACACUAGGACUGAGACACGGCCCAGACUCCUACGGGAGGCAGCAGUGGGGAAUUUUGGACAAUGGGGGCAACCCUGAUCCAGCCAUGCCGCGUGAGUGAAGAAGGCCUUCGGGUUGUAAAGCUCUUUCGGCCGGGAAGAAAUCGCACAGGCUAAUACUCUGUGUGGAUGACGGUACCGGCAUAAGAAGCACCGGCUAACUACGUGCCAGCAGCCGCAGUAA